UCACUCCCCCUUCCUAAUUUGCUGAUUGUCAUCCAUCCAGGACUAAGAAAUUAGAAAGACCCAGAUCAGACAGUCAAUGCUGAAGAUCAACAGGAUGACCAAUGCCACAGUCAGAGCCAAGUGAACGUGCAAAGAACUAUCAUAAGACCCAGGGUGUUCUCCAGGCCCAUAGGAGGCACGUGUGUCCUCACCACAGCC